AGUGAACGCUGGCGGUAGGCCUAACACAUGCAAGUCGAACGGCAGCACAGUAAGAGCUUGCUCUUACGGGUGGCGAGUGGCGGACGGGUGAGGAAUACAUCGGAAUCUACUUUUUCGUGGGGGAUAACGUAGGGAAACUUACGCUAAUACCGCAUACGACCUACGGGUGAAAGCAGGGGAUCUUCGGACCCUGCGCGAUUGAAUGAGCCGAUGUCGGAUUAGCUAGUUGGCGGGGUAAAGGCCCACCAAGGCGACGAUCCGUAGCUGGUCUGAGAGGAUGAUCAGCCACACUGGAACUGAGACACGGUCCAGACUCCUACGGGAGGCAGCAGUGGGGAAUAUUGGACAAUGGGCGCAAGCCUGAUCCAGCCAUACCGCGUGGGUGAAGGAGGCCUUCGGGUUGUAAAGCCCUUUUGUUGGGAAAGAAAAGCAGCAGGUUAAUACCCCGCUGUUCUGACGGUACCCAAAGAAUAAGCACCGGCUAACUUCGUG
rnacentral:rRNA from 1 species